rnacentral:lncRNA from 1 species
CAAGGAGGAAAAGAGAGUUUGUUUAAUAAAUGGUGCUGCAAGGGGAAUGAGAGUGAUUAUAGCAAAUUAAAAAGUUUUCACAUAGAAAAGGAAACUAUCAACAAAAAGAAAAGGCAGCCUACUUAAUGGGAUAAGAUAUUCACAAAUGAUAUAUCUGAUAAGAGGUUAUAAAAUCCAAAAUAUGCAAAGAACUCAUAUGACUCAACAUCAAACAAACAACCCAAUUAAAAAGUGGGCAUCGGACCUUAAAAGACUUUUUUUCAAAGGAAAACAUGGAUUGCUAACAGGCACAUGAAAAGAUGUUCAAUAUCACUAAUCCUCAGGGGAAUUCAAAUUAAAUGCUCAGUGAGCUAUCACCUCAAACCAUCAGAAUGGCUGUUAUCAAAAGGACAACAAAUAAAAAGUGUUGGUGAGGAUGUGGAGAAAAGGGAACCCUUGUGCAUGUUGGUAGGAAUAUAAAUUGGUACAAACACUAUGGAGAACAGAUGGAAGUUCCCCAAAACGUUAAAAGUAGAACUACCAUAGGAUCCAGGAAUGUUAUGUCAAUCCUUUCAAAGUCAUUAGAUCAAGAAUGACUUUAAUUGUCCACUUGGAAUACAACAGUGAAAACAUUCCAGAAACCUCAAUACAUAUUUAUUAAUAAACACCUUCAUGCUGUUUUUACUUUUUAAUGUUAUUUAUUUGUACAAAGUACAGUGUCAUUUGUACCAUCUGAGACUAGAAACAACAUUUAGUUCAAGUCAUUCAAAGCAACUCCACACAAUUAACUACCAGAGUAAGACCAUCUGUGUAUAAGCCCUGCAAGGAUUCACAGAGAGUAUAUGAGCCAGGGACUUAAGAAACAGUAAUUGACUCAGUAAGUAUAACUCUAAACUUUCCAUUGUAUGUAUAUAACACAUUUUCUUUAUCCAUGUAUCUAUCAUUGGAUAUUUGUGUUUUUUCCAUAUCUUGGCUAUUGUAAAUAAUGCUGCAAUGAACAUGGAGGUGUAAAAAUAUCUUGGAAAUUCUGAUUUCAUUUCUUUUAUGUAUAAAUCCAGAAGUAGGAUUGCUGGAUUAUAUGGUGGUUCUAGUUUUAAUCUGGGGUAACAGCUAUACUGUUUUCUGUAGUUGCUACACCAUUCAACAUUCCCACAAACAGAGCUUCCAGUUAUUUGACGUCUGCACUGAUACAUAUCUUUUUUUAUGAUAAUAGUCAUCCCAGCAAGAAUGAGGUGAUGUUUUGUGGUUUUGAUUUGAAUUUCCCCAAUGAUUAGUGCCAUUGAACACUUUUUCAUAUGCCUUUGGCCAUUUGUAUGUUUUCUUUGGAGAAAUGUCUGUUCAAGUCCUUUGCCUGUUUUUAAAUUGUUAAUGUGUUAAUUUUUCUCUGCUGUUGAUUCAUAAGAGAGUCUUAUAUAUUUUAGAUAUUGAUUACUUAUUAGAUAGAUUGUUUGCAAACAUUUUUUCUUAUUCCAUAAGAAGCCUUUUCAUCCUGUUGAUUGUUUCCUUUGCGGUGCAGAAGCUUUCUAGUUUUAUGUAGUCCCACAUUUCUAUUUUUGGUUUUGUUGCCUAUGCUUUUGCUGUCAAAUCCAAGAAAUCACUGUCAAGGCCAAUAUCAAGUUUUAUGUGCAUGCUAAAUACAAAGAAAAUCAUCCAGCAAAUAAUGGGGCAUGAAUUUAAGGUUUUCUUGAAGAUUCAACCUUUUCUUUCUGAAAGUAAAUUGAAUACAGCUGAAAAAACAAAUCAAUACAGUGAUGUACCCAUUAACAAAAGAAGCAGUGAUCAUAUGGCCAGCUCAGGAUGUCCUAGAAGUCAGGAACUUCAGAUUCCAUGUUCUUAAUUCUGUACUAUACUUCCUCUCCUCUCUUCCACAAGGAAAAACAGGCCCUGAGAUUCUCAGUUACUUUGAGAACGUUGUUAUUGUUAUUAUAUGUAUCAUAGAAUUGACCUUAUAAGCAUUUCCAUAAUUAUCCUUUAUCUUAAAAAUCUUUCAAGUCACUCUCUUAUAUUUAGUUAUCACCUUACUUAUGAAUUUAAAGCUUUUGGAGUGUCUGCUAUGGCUCAAAAAAUUAAGAAGCCAACGUGGUUUCCAUGAGGAUGUGAGGUCAAUCCCUGGCCUCACUCAGUGGGUUAAGGAUCCAGUGCUGCCUCAGCUGCUACAUAGAUCAUGGAUAGUUUGGAUCCAUUGUUGCUGUGGCUGCAGCGUUGGCCUGCUGCUGCAGCUCCGAUUCAACCCCUAACCCAGGAACUUCCAUAUGCCACAAGUAUAGCCAUAAAAAGAAAAUAUUUUUUUUUUAAUGUUUUACUCCUACCUCUGUCUUCACUUUCCUGUAAGGAGCUCUAGCCCUGCCAUUUGUGAGCUGUUAUAAAAGGUGUAAAUGUUGUUUUGUUAGGAAAGUUCUUGUUUAUCUAAUAUCUACAAAAUAACAUGUUAACAUAAAAGCAUGGAAGGAAUAUAUUGGCCCAAACAACCUUUGUCAUUUAUUUAUUCAUUCAUGUAGUGCUAUUGUUUUGAAUGCCUAAUGCAAUCCUGGCACUGUUCUAGGCAUAGAAAAUUCAGCAAGGAAUAAAAUAAAGGCCCCAUCCUCUUAGAGUUUACUAGAUAUAGGGUAAGCGUGGAUCCAGUUCUUUGUGUUUUUCGCUUUUUUACAGGAGGCAGUAAACAUUAGAGGAGAGUGGGGCAGGCAAACAGUAAACGGCUGCCAGAGUCCAAACAGGGCAUUGUGCUAGUGUCCAUAAAUGUGCAGGGAGCCCACAUCUCCGCAUUGCACAAGGUGCCCAAACUCCUGAAUUCAGAGCAGUCUGAGAACAUUGUUGAUGAACUCGUUAACUGGUUGUUGUCCCUCUACGUUCUUAUUUGAAAGCUAGUGUGGCAUAGUAGUGGGUUUUGGUGUCCAAAAUUUUGGAUUUGAAAUUCAGUUAUUCUAAAUGCCCUGAGGCAGAUUUUCUCAUGUCAAAAAUGACAACAAUAUAUAACUUUUACAGUUAGGAUAGAGACCUAAAGUACGUGAAACAUAGAGCCCAGUGUCUGGGCCAUAAUAUGUGUAGCAUAAAUGGUAGGUAAUAUAGUGGAGUGUUAACAAUGGUAGAUAAUAACAAUAACAACAAUAUAUUGCUGCCACAACUCACCUCCAUAAUAAGAAUGUUGCCCCUGGUCUUUGGUAUUAUAUGUCUGAUGGAGAUGCAUAUAUAAGCAUUUUUCCAUAGUUACCUUUGCUCUUAAUCUUUUAAGUCAUUUUCUCACAUUCAGCCAUUACCUUACUUAUUAAUUUAAAGCUAUUCCUCCUACCUCUAUCUUUUCUGACUAAUCUCUUGAUCUGAGGGCUUGACAUGAAAUGAAAAAGCUGCAGUGCUUCUUCCAGUCUUCAUUUCUGCAGACUAAACAUGUCUAAGUUGUCUGAUUUUUUUAACCAUAUGAAAUAAUAUGUACGUGCAAAGUAGAGUUAUUGAAUUUUAAAACUUGAGGGGACUUUAAACAAAAGGCCAUACAGCUAGUCAAUUGCUGAAGUUGUUCUAGAACCUAGGUCCCCAGUUUUGUACCACAUGUAAGCAAUGAAAUACAUGUGAUAGUAAGCAGAAAAUAAAAAUAUAACAGAGUGGUUGAGUGAUCAAAAAUCUCUCAUCUAGUGGGCUUUGAUUUGGGGCCAAUUUUUGUCUAUGACCCUCAGAUUCCCUGAAGUUCAUGUUGGUGCAAGAUACUGAUACAUGUCCUGACGAGGACUCACAAGCAUGGUCUUGCCAUAGAUAGAGGACUUCUCCUUGAGGUUAUUUCAGGUACUCUCCCCUGCCCAGAAGGGCUCAAGCAGGCUACAGUGAAACUCAAAGUGCCAUUAUCUCAGAGGAUGGUUAGUCCUACAGUCAUGAGGGCCCAUGGAACAAAUCUGAAUGACCAGGGAGAAAUAUGAAAUGCAUGAUUCUUUAACACAACUUUUUGCAUCCCUAGCAUUUUUUAAUGGAGACAUCAUUUUUUACUCUCAAUUUCUUUGGUACAAGGUAUUGAGUUAUAAUGUCUGUCCUUAUUCAGUGGCCACAGCCUUUCAUGUGAACCUUAGAGCACUAGGAGGUUGGGUGGGGUGGUGGCUCACAGACUGAGUGUACAGGCAAGACUUCUCACCAGGCAAGAAGUCAGGCAAAGUGAAAACGAUUCUCUUGGAGACUGAACAGGCAUUUAUCUUUCCUUUUUCUAAUCUGAUGUGUAUAACUUAUAAACCCAUUACAAACAGGGAGCCUUCCUAGGCACUAUGAGGGGAUAUAAAGAAGCAUUGUUUCUCCUUCAAUUUCAGAAGGCAGUUAAAGCAUAUGCAUAUAAGUAUUGAUACGAAUGACAAUUCAAGUGGUAAAUAAUUGUUGGACAUGAUGUUGAACAAGUUUUCUUUCCCCACAUUAUCAGACAGAACAAUUCAGCCAUAUUGUAUUAGUUAGGAAGGUGUUCUGUUGCAAGUAAAGAGUAUAUGAAUAGCAGCAGCUUAAACUAAAAGAGUUCAUUUUUCUAAUAAACCGAGAUAUCUGAGGUGGGCAACCCUUGGUCUUAGUUCAAUGCUCUGAUGAUGUUAGGGUCAGUUUCUCACAGACACAGAGUAUUAGGGUGUGCCUUUCCAAAGAGAUCAAGAAGGAACUUGCAUGCUUUUAAGAGGAUGCUCUGCCCUUGGGAUGAUGUUGGCAUGACAGUCAAUAGAGGGACGGUGAGAUAGAUCACGUAUGAGGUGAUCACAUAUGUCAUUGCUGAUGGAUGUUUGAUUUCAGCCAAAUAGCCCAAUGUCUCCUGUCUAUAUUAUAGCUGCCCCACCUUCAAACUUGUGCUUGAGGCUGGAAAAAGAUGAAAGGAGAAAAAGAUCUGUGCCAACCCAAUCUUUGAAAACAUAGACUUUCUCUUUGGGACCCCUGGCUGAACCUGGAUCAUUUAGAAAGUUUUCUAAAGAAGACUUGGAAACAAGAAUGUCAUAACUGGCCUAAAUCAAUCAUAAGUCAUCACUUGGUCUCAGAACAUUGCUGUUCUGAACAAAUGUGAGCAUCUGCUAUCAACGAAUAAAAGUAGUUUCUUUACAGCCUUUAUAAAUGUGUGUCACACUCUUGUGUGUCCUUCUAGGUCAUUUGCUGUAAGUAGUUAAGGAGGUACCCCAUAAACUUAUCAUCAAUUGCUUAAGAGUUUUUUUUCUCUUCCAAUUAACUAAUAGCUCCUGGAGGGCAGGAACUGUGUCUUACUUGCUCUUUUAUUGUAAGAUUUUACCACAAGGCCUAAAACUUAAAUGUUGCUUAACAUUCUUUUGAAUUGCAUUAAAUUAAGGGCCUUGUACAGAACCUGUUGAAUUUAGAGUUAUAGGAAUACAGCAUAUCGUAGUUUAGUGUUAUGAGUGACCACAUUAAGUUUGAGGUAGAAAAAAGGGUUUAAAGUCUAUCUUGAGGAAUGGAUAAGGCCCAUGUCUGAUUUAGUUGUAUGUAGCAUCCUUGACAUCCCAGACAGUAUAUUUCAGUAAUGUUUCUUGAACUGGAGUGAAUUUGAGUAGCGGGCGAGUCCAGGGAAGGAAACUUUACAAAAAACGUUUGUAGGUAGAAACACAAGCAGCAUUUCUUGUUCCUACUCUUCACUUUCUCUGCCCCUCCUCACCUUUGAGCCCACAGUCCCAAGUAUUAUCUGAUGUUUAUCCCUUAGGUUCUCUGAGGCGUUGGAUCUUAGUGGAAUGGAUUGUUGAUUCUUUGGGCUGAAAACAGGACUAUUUUCCACUUGCUUCUACUCAGAGGUCUGGUACACACCUAAUAUUAAUUUGAGGCAUACAGAUGGCAGAGCUGGCAAAUAUAAGAGCAGUUACUUUUAGACAAACUGAGCUGAACUGUAGUCCUUUGCUAAGAAUGCCUGUUAUCCAGAGGCUGAAUAGAGCUCUGGUAAGUCUUUAAGAAGACUCUCCACUCCCAGCAUGUGAUGCCAUGUUGGUCUCUGUUUUAUCUCACUAGGGUCAUGUCAGCCAGGUGAAAUUUACAGGGGCAUUCAUAAGGAGCUGUAGACCACAUGGCAGACACAUUGCUGGUAGUUACCUGUUUAUUUGGAACCAAGUAGCAAAAAAGUCCUAUUGGGUUAUUUUGCUUUGACUUGGGUUUGAUCGCUGGCCUUGCUUAGUGGGUUAAGGAUCCGAUGUUGC